UCAGCACUCAGGAAAAGAAGGAGUGGGAAGGGAGGGGAAGGGAGGGGAAGUGGCGGGGAUGGAGGCCGUGGCCCUAAAGUGGUCAGUCAGCCCUCUUGCUUUAGACAGCAAACCGAGAGAAUUCUACACACUCUUCUGCUCAUGCAAGAAAUGCUUGGAAGAGCAUUUACUUUCAUUCAAAAGCGGCAGCAGACCCUAAGGUUUGCCUAAGCCAACACCAAGAUGGACAAAAAUAAAGUAAUGGCAAACCCCACCAAUGUUCACACAGCCCUAGGACCACACCUCCUAGCACAGGACCCCAUGACCUGAGGGAGUGGCUCUGAUCUCUGUAACCCCAAAGGCCUGAAACCCCUACCCACUUUACACCAUAGAAACCACAGAGCUGACCAGGGUCAUCUUAUAUGCUGCUUUCAGCUACUCUGCUACAGUUCGACAUGCUCAGGUACACUGGUGCUCUCCUCCUGGCGCCACCCAGCAAGAAUGGAAACACUGUCAGUUCUGU
rnacentral:lncRNA from 1 species